rfam:Dipodomys ordii contig_39560, whole genome shotgun sequence.
GGGAAGGUGGCUCAGUGGUAAAGUGCUUGCCUUUCAUGCAUGAGGCCCUAGGUUCGAUUCCUCAGUACCA